GGCCUGCUCGGUGAAUAUAAUUUUUAACAGCUGCGGUAUUUUAACUGUACUAAGGUAGCAUAAUAAUUUGCCUUAUAAUUUGAGGCUAGAAUGAAUGGUUUGACGAAGGUUAAUCUGUCUCUAUUUUAUUUUUUAGAAUUUAAUUUUUGUAGUGAAAAAGCUCAAAUUUUUUAAAGGGACGAGAAGACCCUAUUGAUCUUUAAUUUUAAUUUUUUAUAUUACAAAAUAUAUAAUAAAUAUAAAUUUUAAUUGGGGUGAUUAAGGAAUAAUUAAUUAACUUCCUUAAUAUAUUUACUUAUGAGUAAAGUAACCAGUAAUACUGCUUAUAAAAAAGUUACCAUAGGGAUAACAGCGUAAUUUAGUUUAAGAGUUCUUAUCGAAAAUUAAGAUUGCGACCUCGAUGUUGGAUUAAAGUAACCUUAAGGUGUAGAAGCUUUAAAAGGUAAAUCUGUUCGAUUUUUAAUACUUUACA
rnacentral:rRNA from 1 species